UAGUUUAGUUGGUAGAGAGUAAGGCUCUUAACCUUCUGGUCAUGGGUUCGAGCCCCAU
rnacentral:tRNA from 1 species